UGCGGCAGCGAACGUAUCACCCAAGACAACUUUACGGAGUUGACGAUUGACGGAGCGAAGCGACGUCAAAGCGUUCAUUAAAGUCGAGUCGGCUUAAGGAUACGUUCGUUGGGUAGGGGAGCGUUCUGUAAGCCUGUGAAGGUGGCCUGUGAGGGUUGCUGGAGGUAUCAGAAGUGCGAAUGCUGACAUAAGUAACGAUAAAGCGGGUGAAAAGCCCGCUCGCCGGAAGACCAAGGGUUCCUGUCCAACGUUAAUCGGGGCAGGGUGAGUCGACCCCUAAGGCGAGGCCGAAAGGCGUAGUCGAUGGGAAACGGGUUAAUAUUCCCGUACUUGGUGUUACUGCGAAGGGGGGACGGAGAAGGCUAUGUUGGCCGGGCGACGGUUGUCCCGGUUUAAGCGUGUAGGCUGGUUUUCCAGGCAAAUCCGGAAAAUCAAGGCUGAGGCGUGACGACGAGGC
rnacentral:rRNA from 1 species